AUUGAACGCUGGCGGCAGGCCUAACACGUGCAAGUCGAGCGGAUGAAGGGAGCUUGCUCCUGGAUUCAGCGGCGGACGGGUGAGUAAUGCCUAGGAAUCUGCCUGGUAGUGGGGAUAACGUCCGGAAACGGGCGCUAAUACCGCAUACGUCCUGAGGGAGAAAGUGGGGGAUCUUCGGACCUCACGCUAUCAGAUGAGCCUAGGUCGGAUUAGCUAGUUGGUGGGGUAAAGGCCUACCAAGGCGACGAUCCGUAACUGGUCUGAGAGGAUGAUCAGUCACACUGGAACUGAGACACGGUCCAGACUCCUACGGGAGGCAGCAGUGGGGAAUAUUGGACAAUGGGCGAAAGCCUGAUCCAGCCAUGCCGCGUGUGUGAAGAAGGUCUUCGGAUUGUAAAGCACUUUAAGUUGGGAGGAAGGGCAGUAAGUUAAUACCUUGCUGUUUUGACGUUACCAACAGAAUAAGCACCGGCUAACUUCGUG
rnacentral:rRNA from 1 species